rnacentral:ribozyme from 1 species
CCGCCACUAUACAUCAAUAGAUGAUACAAAAUAUGGAGGGUGAAAGCGAAGCAAAUUACACCUAUUUGGACUACUCGUUACCAACACACGUCUUGCAGUCAUUAUUUUUUCUAUGACUUUUCAUCCUGUUUCGUUCUCGUGUGCGUUUUUU